UGGGGAAUAUUGCACAAUGGGCGAAAGCCUGAUGCAGCAACGCCGCGUGAGUGAUGAAGGUCUUCGGAUUGUAAAGCUCUGUCUUUUGGGACGAUAAUGACGGUACCAAAGGAGGAAGCCACGGCUAACUACGUGCCAGCAGCCGCGGUAAUACGUAGGUGGCGAGCGUUGUCCGGAUUUACUGGGCGUAAAGGGUGCGUAGGCGGAUGUUUAAGUGAGAUGUGAAAUACCCGGGCUUAACUUGGGUGCUGCAUUUCAAACUGGAUAUCUAGAGUGCAGGAGAGGAGAAUGGAAUUCCCAGUGUAGCGGUGAAAUGCGUAGAGAUUAGGAAGAACACCAGUGGCGAAGGCGAUUCUCUGGACUGUAACUGACGCUGAGGCACGAAAGCGUGGGUAGCAAACAGGAUUAGAUACCCUGGUAGUCCACGCCGUAAACGAUGAGUAUCUAGGUGUAGGAGGUAUC
rnacentral:rRNA from 1 species